AAGCUCGUAGUUGAAUUUCGGGAUCAAUUGAUUGGUCAUGCCAUUGGUAUGUACUGGUCAUAUUGGUUCUCACCUUCUAAGGAACCAUAAUGUCAUUAAUUUGAUGUUUUGGGGAAUUAGGACUGUUACCUUGAAAAAAUUAGAGUGUUUAAAGCAGGCUAACGCUUGAAUACAUUAGCAUGGAAUAAUGAAAUAGGACAUCGCAUUCUAUUUUGUUGGUUUCUAGGAUCGAUGUAAUGAUUAAUAGGGAUAGUUGGG
rnacentral:rRNA from 1 species